UACAAUUCGGUGGCCUAGUGGUUAGAGCGUCCGCCUGGGAUGAGGAAAGUAGUGGGUUCGAUCCCUGGCUGAGUAA